CGGAUCUGGUGUCAGAGGGGGAGUAGUACAGUGUAGUUUACGUUACCUCGUUUUCCUUUAUUUUAUUAUAGGCGAGAGUCCAAUUGCUAGUAACAGCAUAAUUCAAUCAAGUCGCGUCCUGACUACAACCGACCCGUCAUGGAGGGCUGGAGGAACAACCUUACAAGGUCACAGCUAUCAGCUCUUCGAACCCACUAAUGACCCCAUCACAGCCGACCCAUCUAAGAAAGUUGAACUGGUGCUUCGGCUAGUGGCAAGGGAAGACGAGCCAGACGUUAAGUUUCCCACAGAUCCGUGUACUCCAUUGUCGACCCUGCGCCCACCGCCUGUUCCUGAGUGAAGGGAUCUU